GGCAGCAUCUCUUUGCACUGAGUGAGUGAGUGAGUGAGUGAGUGAGAGUGCCAAAGGUGCUUUAACUGGGUCCGGGCCGGGCCUGGCCAGGGAUGCGAUGCGAUGGGAUGGCCAUUCACAGUUGAAAAUUCAUGUUUCUCCAAAAUGUCUUGGCAACAACAAAGGCGGGUGGGUCCUCAAGACCUAGCAACUCUGAUUGGCUUCAAUUGGGAAAGCCAGCCGCCGCCAAAAAGUAGGUCAAAGUGUCACAAUGGGUUGACAAAAAGUAGGUCACACAAUUGAUGGAAAGGAAGGCCACAACUAUUUGCUUGUAAGAUUUUUCUUUUUGUGCUCUAGAAUUCUUAUAGUGGACGACUGGAACGACGUCAGAACGACGUACGUGUAGAAGGCCUUUGUUCUUUCUUCCCAUUUGAUGGAUAUGCCUCCGUCAGAGUCGGACAGGCCCUGUAUGCUGCAACAACGGGUUCAUCCCAACCGCUAAUAAGCCGAAGCAACGACUAUGGUAAUCGGGUUGAAUUUCCUUCUGAAUGGUUGAGAGAUACUAUUAACUUUGUCCACAUGGACUUUUUGAACGAGCAGGAAAUGCUUCGAGUCUAUUUAGUAUUCUCUGGUGUUGUGAGGGAUGGUAGUGCAGUUCGAGUAUCGCAGCUGACUCGUGUCCCCAAGGUAACAACUUGCAAAAUCCAAACUGCUUUACAAUCGAGUGCAGGUAUGCAUGCAUCCAUCGUAUGGAUGGCUUUAGGACCAUAGCAG